rnacentral:lncRNA from 1 species
AAAUGAGGAGUGAUUUUAGUUCCAAAUGACAUGACGAUUUUUUUAAGAGGAGGGAAUGAACGACUUUCAUGUUUGCAAAACUCAUCUGCAUUUUAAGAAGAUGCUGUGCUUGCACUAGAUUAUGUCGCAGGACACAUCACUGCUAUUAUCAUUAAAUUUUUGUAACUCAUUCGAAUUUUCAGGGUCAGGUAGUUUAAAGCAUCUGAAUGCUCACUUUCUGUCUCCAGUAGUAUGUCCUUGACAGCCCGAAUUUCUGACAGUUUUGCUUAGGGCUGAGUCGACUUGGAGAGGCUGUGUCAGCCUUGGACUUUCCUGGGCUUGCUUUUGGCAAAGAUUUAAAAGAAUAAUACAUAAAUUUCCAAGCAUUUGCAUGGUAUGAAGUGGCUGGAAUGAUUUUCAUAGCUGGGAUAUUCCAAGAAGAGACACUCAAGGAAAAAAAAAAUAAAAAUCCUUUGACUCAUCAUAUAAAUAGUAAUCUAAUGCAAUAUUAAAAACUAUUCAGUUAAAUAUUUAAGGCUGUGGAGUAACUCACUUAAUUUACGGGUCAGUAUACCUAAUUGUAUGUGUGGGGGAUAUCCAUUGGCUUACUGCAGCCCAGCCCCAGGGAGGUGAGAAGGGGUUAUUGCUCACACCUGCAGGGUGGCCCUUAGAAGGGCUGCAACACAGCAAGCUGGGUGGAGUAGCUGAAGAGUGGCAUGCAAGAAGGAAGAUGAUUAGUACAAGCCACAGAACGGAUACAUUCUUUCCACACACUCAGAACAUCAGCUUGCAAGAAAUGAUGAAGCUUAGUGUAGAAUCAUGGACAACCACUGAACUCAGGUAGUCACCAGCAAAACACAGGAAACGUGAGUGUUGGGCUGGUGAAGCUGUGAGCCCCACAGCGGUGGCUGUACUGGGACCCUUGCAAGUCAGCUCAGUCUCUUCAGUCUCUACAAAAAGAAUGUAUGGAAAAAUGAUAGAUGCAGAGCACAAAAAGCAUAUAAGCUGAAGUGUGUGAUCCGUGUGGUAAUGUCACAAAAUCAGUCAUCCAAUGUUUUAACUGUAACCCGAAAUGGUAUCUAAAAUAUACCUAGACACCAAAGAUUCCGUAGAAACGGGACUCAGUG